UAGGAUGACCUAGCUCUUCACUUAAGU
rnacentral:piRNA from 1 species